rnacentral:rRNA from 1 species
CAACCCAGACCGCCAGCUAAGGUCCCAAAGUCAUGGUUAAGUGGGAAACGAUGUGGGAAGGCCCAGACAGCCAGGAUGUUGGCUUAGAAGCAGCCAUCAUUUAAAGAAAGCGUAAUAGCUCACUGGUCGAGUCGGCCUGCGCGGAAGAUGUAACGGGGCUAAACCAUGCACCGAAGCUGCGGCAGCGAACGUAUCACUUAAAGCGAUUCAGCGGGUUACGAUUGACGGAGCGAAGCGACGUCAAAGCGUAUACAAAGUCGAGUCGGUUUAAGGAUACGUUCGUUGGGUAGGGGAGCGUUCUGUAAGCCUGUGAAGGUGGCCUGUGAGGGUUGCUGGAGGUAUCAGAAGUGCGAAUGCUGACAUAAGUAACGAUAAAGCGGGUGAAAAGCCCGCUCGCCGGAAGACCAAGGGUUCCUGUCCAACGUUAAUCGGGGCAGGGUGAGUCGACCCCUAAGGCGAGGCCGAAAGGCGUAGUCGAUGGGAAACGGGUUAAUAUUCCCGUACUUGGUGUUACUGCGAAGGGGGGACGGAGAAGGCUAUGUUGG